AGAGUGCAACUUACUUCUUUGUGUGUUUGUGUGUUUGUGUGUUUGUGUGUUUGUUUGUUUGUUUGUUUGUUUGAGACAGGCCUCAUUCUGUAGCCCAGGCUAGCCUGGAAUCUACUAUGCAGCCUGUCUCAGCUUCUCAAAUGCUGGACUAAUGGGAAUGUGUCACCACACCCAAUGUACCAAACUCUUUAAAAAACCUAUCCUGUUUGACCAGAAAACUCGACACCAAAGGCAGCCUGCACAAGAAUCAUCUUGGAUCAUUUGCAAGGGUCCCCAGGAUGGGGCAGGCCGGACCACACAGGGGGUGACGAGAACCUGCUGCCAGUGCCGAUCCUUCAUGCCGGGGUUGCAGGCGAUGUUGAGGAUGGAUUAUCAGCCUGGGAGGGAUGUGUUCUUCUGACACUCCCAAACUCUACAUCUAUCUAAAAGCAAACGAAGAAAGAGAAAUAAAAAAACAGGUUAAAGCAUCUAUGAUCCAUCUAUUGGAGACGGGCUGCUAUGACCCUAUUGGUGAUUGAACAUGCCUAGAAAUUUUUCCU